AACUACGGCCAUGCCUCCUUGAACAAGCCCGAUCCUGUCUGAUCUCGGAAGCUAAGCAGAGUCAGGCCUGAUUAGUACUUGGAUGGGAGACCACUUAGGAAGACCAGGUGCUGUGGGUG
rnacentral:rRNA from 1 species